GGGCCAUUAGCUCAAUUGGUAGAGCAGGCGACUCUUAAUCGUCAGGUUGUAGGUUCGAGUCCUACAUGGCCCACCA
rnacentral:tRNA from 1 species